AUUACUUCUCCCAAAAUGAAUCUUCGAGUAUUCUUUCUUUUGUUUCUCUUGAUUGCUGUCAUGGUCGAGACUGGAGAAAGUGAAGAAACUGAUGAUGCUGGAGAAGAAGUUGGAGGUGCUGGAGAAGAAGCUGGAGGUGCUGGAGAAGAAGCUGGAGGUGCUGGAGAAGAAUCCGCUAAUGAAGCAGCUAACAAAAAUCCCGGAGAUGAUUCCAAAUGAGAUUUAAUUGCUAAUUUGAUGAUUUCUGAAAUCAGUUUAUUAGACUGAAAUGUAUACUGAGUAAUAUGGAACAAAUUGAAUAAAUAAUUAUUUGCAUAGAUAUUUUACUUCUUUAUAAGUAAUUUAUGCAUUUUCUCAGGAAAAGAAUCAUGAAGGGUACAAUAACAUCUCU
rnacentral:lncRNA from 1 species